rnacentral:rRNA from 1 species
CCUACGGGAGGCAGCAGUGGGGAAUUUUCCGCAAUGGGCGUAAGCCUGACGGAGCAAUACCGCGUGAGGGAUGAAGGCUCGUGGGUCGUAAACCUCUUUUCCCAAGGAAGAAGUUCUGACGGUACUUGGGGAAUAAGCAUCGGCUAAUUCCGUGCCAGCAGCCGCGGUAAUACGGGAGAUGCGAGCGUUAUCCGGAAUCACUGGGCGUAAAGCGUCUGUAGGUGGUUUGUUAAGUCUGUUGUUAAAAACUGAAGCUCAACUUCAGGGGUGCGGCAGAAACUGGCAAACUUGAGUAUGGUAGGGGUAGGAGGAAUUUCUAGUGUAGCGGUGAAAUGCGUAGAUAUUAGGAAGAACACCAUUAGCGAAGGCGUCCUACUGGGCCAAAACUGACACUCAGAGACGAAAGCUAGGGGAGCAAACGGGAUUAGAUACCCCGGUAGUCCUAGCCGUAAACGAUGGAUACUAGAUGUCGCGGGUUUACCUGCGGUGUCGUAGCUAACGCGUUAAGUAUCCGCCUGGGAGUACGCACGCAAGUGUGAAACUCAAAGGAAUUGACGG